GACGAACGCUGGCGGCGUGCUUAACACAUGCAAGUCGAACGGAAAGGCCCUGCUUUUGUGGGGUGCUCGAGUGGCGAACGGGUGAGUAACACGUGAGUAACCUGCCCUUGACUUUGGGAUAACUUCAGGAAACUGGGGCUAAUACCGGAUAGGAGCUCCUGCUGCAUGGUGGGGGUUGGAAAGUUUCGGCGGUUGGGGAUGGACUCGCGGCUUAUCAGCUUGUUGGUGGGGUAGUGGCUUACCAAGGCUUUGACGGGUAGCCGGCCUGAGAGGGUGACCGGCCACAUUGGGACUGAGAUACGGCCCAGACUACUACGGGAGGCAGCAGUGGGGAAUAUUGCACAAUGGGCGGAAGCCUGAUGCAGAAACGCCGCGUGCGGGAUGACGGCCUUCGGGUUGUAAACCGCUUUCGCCUGUGACGAAGCGUGAGUGACGGUAAUGGGUAAAGAAGCACCGGCUAACUACGUG
rnacentral:rRNA from 1 species